rnacentral:rRNA from 1 species
UGCAGCGACGCCGCGUGAGGGAUGACGGCCUUCGGGUUGUAAACCUCUUUCAGCAGGGAAGAAGCGAAAGUGACGGUACCUGCAGAAGAAGCGCCGGCUAACUACGUGCCAGCAGCCGCGGUAAUACGUAGGGCGCAAGCGUUGUCCGGAAUUAUUGGGCGUAAAGAGCUCGUAGGCGGCUUGUCACGUCGGAUGUGAAAGCCCGAGGCUUAACCUCGGGUCUGCAUUCGAUACGGGCUAGCUAGAGUGUGGUAGGGGAGAUCGGAAUUCCUGGUGUAGCGGUGAAAUGCGCAGAUAUCAGGAGGAACACCGGUGGCGAAGGCGGAUCUCUGGGCCAUUACUGACGCUGAGGAGCGAAAGCGUGGGGAGCGAACAGGAUUAGAUACCCUGGUAGUCCACGCCGUAAACGUUGGGAACUAGGUGUUGGCGACAUUCCACGUCGUCGGUGCCGCAGCUAACGCAUUAAGUUCCCCGCCUGGGGAGUACGGCCGCAAGGCUAAAACUCAAAGGAAUUGACGGGGGCCCGCACAAGCGGCGGAGCAUGUGGCUUAAUUCGACGCAACGCGAAGAACCUUACCAAGGCUUGACAUAUACCGGAAAGCAUUAGAGAUAGUGCCCCCCUUGUG